rnacentral:rRNA from 1 species
UGGGGAAUAUUGGGCAAUGGGCGCAAGCCUGACCCAGCGACUCUGCGUGAUGGAUCAAGACCUAAGGGGUGUAAACAUCUUUUUUGGGGGAAGACGAAUGACGGUACCCCAAGAAUAAGAGACGGCUAACUACGUGCCAGCAGCCGCGGUAAUACGUGGGUCUCGAGCGUUAUCUGGAAUUACUGGGCGUAAAGAGUCUGUAGCUUGUUAUGUAAGUCUACUUUCAAACCCCGAUGCUCAACAUUGGAAAGGGGGUAGAUACUGCAUAACUGGAGAUAAGUGGAGGUUAGUGGAAUUACUGGUGGAGAGGUGAAAUUUGUUGAUAUCAGUAGGAAUGCCGAAAGCGAAAGCAGCUAACUAUGCUUUAUCUGACAGUGAGAGACGAAAGCUUGGGUAGCAAACGGG